UCCUAUGAGAAGGACGACCACUGAGA
rnacentral:rasiRNA from 1 species